rnacentral:rRNA from 1 species
UACGAAGGGUGCAAACGUUGCUCGGAAUUAUUGGGCGUAAAGCGCACGUAGGCGGCUUAGCAAGUCGGAUGUGAAAUCCCCAGGCUUAACCUGGGAACUGCAUUCGAGACUGCAUUGCUAGAGUAUGGGAGAGGGAAGUGGAAUUUCCGGUGUAGCGGUGAAAUGCGUAGAUAUCGGAAGGAACAUCAGUGGCGAAAGCGACUUCCUGGACCAAUACUGACGCUCAUGUGCGAAAGCGUGGGGAGCAAACAGGG